rfam:Schistosoma haematobium scaffold430_41, whole genome shotgun sequence.
CACCAUGCUGAGGAGUCCCACAAUAGGACGAAACGACCGUCCAGGGC